rnacentral:rRNA from 1 species
AACGAACGCUGGCGGCAGGCCUAACACAUGCAAGUCGAGCGAAGCCUUCGGGCUUAGCGGCGGACGGGUGAGUAACGCGUGGGAACGUGCCCUUUGCUACGGAAUAGCCCCGGGAAACUGGGAGUAAUACCGUAUGUGCCCUUCGGGGGAAAGAUUUAUCGGCAAAGGAUCGGCCCGCGUUGGAUUAGGUAGUUGGUGGGGUAAUGGCCUACCAAGCCGACGAUCCAUAGCUGGUUUGAGAGGAUGAUCAGCCACACUGGGACUGAGACACGGCCCAGACUCCGACGGGAGGCAGCAGUGGGGAAUCUUAGACAAUGGGGGAAACCCUGGUCUAGCCAUGCCGCGUGAUCGAUGAAGGCCUUAGGGUUGUAAAGAUCUUUCAGUGGGGAAGAUAAUGACUGUACCCACAGAAGAAGCCCCGGCUAACUCCGUGCCAGCCGCCGCGGUAAGAC